CCGACGGGUGCGUAACGCGUAUGCAACUUGCCUAUCAGGAGGGGAGAACCGGCGAAAGUCGGACUAAUACCGCAUGAAGCAGGGAUCCCGCAUGGGAAUAUUUGCUAAAGAUUCAUCGCUGAUAGAUAGGCAUGCGUUCCAUUAGGCAGUUGGCGGGGUAACGGCCCACCAAACCUCGAUGGAUAGGGGUUCUGAGAGGAAGGUCCCCCACAUUGGAACUGAGACACGGUCCAA
rnacentral:rRNA from 1 species